UACGUAGGGCGCAAGCGUUGUCCGGAUUUAUUGGGCGUAAAGAGCGUGUAGGCGGUUUGGUAGGUCCGCUGUGAAAACUCGAGGCUCAACCUCGAGACGCCGGUGGAAACCAUCAGGCUAGAGUCCGGAAGAGGAGAGUGGAAUUCCUGGUGUAGCGGUGAAAUGCGCAGAUAUCAGGAGGAACACCGAUGGCGAAGGCAGGUCUCUGGGCAUUAACUGACGCUGAGGAGCGAAAGCAUGGGGAGCGAACAGG
rnacentral:rRNA from 1 species